GAUUAACGCUGGCGGCGUGCAUAACACAUGCAAGUCGAACGAUUAAACUUAGUCGACUUCUUCGGAAAGACACUAAGCGGAUUAGUGGCGAACGGGUGAGUAACGCGUGAGUAACCUGCCUUACACAAGGGGAUAGCCUUUGGAAACGAAGAAUCAUACCCUAUAAAACCAUACAAGCACAUGCUAGAAUGGUCAAAGUGAUAGCGGUGUAAGAUGGACUUGCGUCUGAUUAGCUAGUUGGUGAGAUAAAAGCUCACCAAGGCAACGAUCAGUAGCCGGCUUGAGAGAGUGUACGGCCGCAUUGGGGCUGAGACACGGCCCAGACUCGUGCGGGAGGAAGCAGUGGGGAAUUUUGCACAGUGGGGGAAACCCUGAUGCAGCGUCGCCGAGUGAUUUAGAAGGCCUUCGGGUUGUAAACAUCUUUUGUAUAGGAAGAAAAUGAAAGGACUAUACGAAUAAGGUCCGGCUAAUUACGUG
rnacentral:rRNA from 1 species